AAGAGGUUAGGUUGUCAUGCCAUGGAAGAAGCCCAAAGCCUGGUUUAUCUUCUUUAGGUUUGAAGAAAGACAGGAGGUUUUGCUUUCAUUUGAUUUUUGCAUUGCUUUGUUGUUCACUAUGGGGGCAAGGUUGCCCAUAUGAAAAAAACUGACUGGACACCUGAACUUAGAGCUUACUUGGCCUUGAUGAGGAAGGUUGGCCUCAGAAAUCAGUUGCAGACCACACCAGAACAGAACAUCUCAUCCUGCCCAGAUCUGGAGUGUCAGACACUGAGAAUAAAACAAUCUCAGGGGAAUUAGAAUCGUUGAGGGAGGAAGAUGGGGAGUCAUGAAAAAUCCAUUUCUGUUCCUCUGCCCAUGAAAACUGGGUGGAAGAGAACUGUAUUCUACUACAAGAAGAUGGAGUAGAGGAAUUUUGUUGUCUCUGCUCUGCCCCCUCCCCCCUCC